rnacentral:rRNA from 1 species
UACGUAGGGUGCGAGCGUUGUCCGGAAUUAUUGGGCGUAAAGAGCUUGUAGGCGGUUUGUCGCGUCUGCUGUGAAAAUCCGGGGCUCAACCCCGGACUUGCAGUGGGUACGGGCAGACUGGAGUGUGGUAGGGGAAACUGGAAUUCCUGGUGUAGCGGUGGAAUGCGCAGAUAUCAGGAGGAACACCGAUGGCGAAGGCAGGUCUCUGGGCCACUACUGACGCUGAGAAGCGAAAGCAUGGGGAGCGAACAGG